UGGGGAAUAUUGCACAAUGGAGGGAACUCUGAUGCAGCGACGCCGCGUGAGUGAUGAAGGCAUUCGCUUCGUAAAACUCUGCUCUAUGGGAAGAAAAGGACUGUACCAUAGGAGAAAGCCCCGGCUAAAUACGUGCCAGCAGCCGCGGUAAUACGUAUGGAGCGAGCGUUGUCCGGAAUUAUUGGGCGUAAAGGGUGCGCAGGCGGCUUUACAAGUUGGAUGUGAAAUAUUGUGGCUCAACCACAAACGUGCAUCCAAAACUGCAAAGCUUGGGUUAAGGAGAGGUAAGUGGAAUUCCUGGUGUAGCGGUGGAAUGCGUAGAUAUCAGGAGAAAUGCCGGUGGCAAAGGCGACUUACUGGACUUAAACUGACGCUCAGGCACGAAAGGGUGGGGAGCAAACAGG
rnacentral:rRNA from 1 species